CUUUGGUCUUAUUUUGUUGGUUUCCGAGACCGAAGUAAUGAUUAAUAGGGACGGUUGGGGGCAUUAGUAUUUAAUUGUCAGAGGUGAAAUUCUUGGAUUUAUGAAAGACUAACUUCUGCGAAAGCAUUUGCCAAGGAUGUUUUCAUUAAUCAAGAACGAAAGUCAGGGGAUCGAAGACGAUCAGAUACCGUCGUAGUCCUGACCAUAAACUAUGCCGACUAGGGAUCGGUGGGGGUUUUACAUACCCCAUCGGCACCUUAUGAGAAAUCAAAGUUUUUGGGUUCUGGGGGGUGUAUGGUCGCAAGGCUGAAACUUAAAGGAAUUGACGGAAGGGCACACCAGGAGUGGAGCCUGCGGCUUAAUUUGACUCAACACGGGGAAACUCACCAGGUCCAGA
rnacentral:rRNA from 1 species